AUGACAAAAGCCAUUAAUGAUAAGUAUCUGGGUUUGCCAGCUACGUUGGGGCUGGACAAGACUGAUAGUUUUCAGUACUUGGUGGAUCGGUUGAUCUUGAAACUGACUGGAUGGAAGGAGAAAAGCCUGUCUUCUGGAGGUAAAGAUGUGCUUAUUAAGUCUGUAGCACAAGCCAUACCAGCCUAUGCGAUGUCGGUCUUCAAAAUUCCUAAGAAAAUUUGUAAAGGAAUUACAGAUGCGAUAGCAAGGUUCUGGUGGGGUGAUGAUGCAUCACACAAGAGAAUGCACUGGUUUGCUUGGUGGAAGAUGUGUAUA
rnacentral:rRNA from 1 species